ACUGAUCGGCCACAUUGGGACUGAGACCCGGCCCAAACUCCUACGGGAGGCUGCAGUAGGGAAUCUUCCCCAAUGGGCGAAAGCCUGAUGGAGCAACGCCGCGUGUUUGAUGAAGGCUUUCGGGUCGUAAAGCACUGUUGUAUGGGAAGAAAAGUUAAGGUAGGGAAUGACCUUAGCCUGACGGUACCAUACCAGAAAGGGACGGCUAAAUACGUGCCAGCAGCCGCGGUAAUACGUAUGUCCCGAGCGUUAUCCGGAUUUAUUGGGCGUAAAGCGAGCGCAGACGGUUGGUUAAGUCUGAUGUGAAAGCCCGGAGCUCAACUCCGGAAAGGCAUUGGAAACUGGUUAACUUGAGUGCAGUAGAGGUAAGUGGAACUCCAUGUGUAGCGGUGGAAUGCGUAGAUAUAUGGAAGAACACCAGCGGCGAAGGCGGCUUACUGGACUGUAACUGACGUUGAGGCUCGAAAGUGUGGGUAGCAAACAGGAUUAGAUACCCUGGUAGUCCACACCGUAAACGAUGAACACUAGGUGUUAGGAGGUUUCCGCCUCUUAGUGCCGAAGCUAACGCAUUAAGUGUUCCGCCUGGGGAGUACGACCGCAAGGUUGAAACUCAAAGGAAUUGACGGGGACCCGCACAAGCGGUGGAGCAUGUGGUUUAAUUCGAAGCAACGCGAAGAACCUUACCAGGUCUUGACAUCCUUUGAAGCUUUUAGAAAUAGAAGUGUUCUCUUCGGAGACAAAGUGACAGGUGGUGCAUGGUCGUCGUCAGCUCGUGUCGUGAGAUGUUGGGUUAAGUCCCGCAACGAGCGCAACCCUUAUUGUUAGUUGCCAGCAUUCAGAUGGGCACUCUAGCGAGACUGCCGGUGACAAACCGGAGGAAGGCGGGGACGACGUCAGAUCAUCAUGCCCCUUAUGACCUGGGCUACACACGUGCUACAAUGGCGUAUACAACGAGUUGCCAACCUGCGAAGGUGAGCUAAUCUCUUAAAGUACGUCUCAGUUCGGACUGCAGUCUGCAACUCGACUGCACGAAGUCGGAAUCGCUAGUAAUCGCGGAUCAGCACGCCGCGGUGAAUACGUUCCCGGGUCUUGUACACACCGCCCGUCACACCAUGGAAGUUUGUAAUGCCCAAAGCCGGUGGCCUAACCGUAAGGAGGGAACC
rnacentral:rRNA from 1 species